rnacentral:tRNA from 1 species
GCUAGUGUAGCUUAAUUUAAAGUUUAGUACUGAAGAUACUAAGAUUGAAAAAUAAACCUUUCCACAAGCA